CCUACGGGAGGCAGCAGUGGGGAAUUUUGCGCAAUGCUCGUAAGAGUGACGCAGCGACGCCGCGUGAAUGACGAAGGCCUUCGGGUCGUAAAGUGCUUUCGACAGGGAAGAAAAUGCAUAUAAGUAACUGAGUAUGUAUUGACGGUACCUGUAUAAGCAGCCCAGGCUAACUCCGUGCCAGCAGCCGCGGUAAUACGGAGGGGGCGAGCGUUGUUCGGAGGAGCUGGGCGGAAAGAGCAAGUAUGCGGUGUUGUAAGUCAUGAGUCAAAGACUAGAGCUCAACUUUAGUAAGGCUAGUGAUACUAUAAUACUAGAGUAUCAGAGAGGAUUGCAGAAUUCCUGGUGAAGCGGUGAAAUGCGUAGAUAUCAGGAGGAAUACCGUUGGCGAAGGCGGCAAUCUGGCUGGAAACUGACGCUGAGGUGCGAAAGCGUGGGUAGCAAACAGGAUUAGAUACCCUGGUAGUC
rnacentral:rRNA from 1 species